GACGAACGCUGGCGGCGUGCUUAACACAUGCAAGUCGUACGGUAAGGCCCUUUCGGGGGUACACGAGUGGCGAACGGGUGAGUAACACGUGAGUAACCUGCCCACAACUUUGGGAUAACGCUAGGAAACUGGUGCUAAUACUGGAUAUGGGCUCCUGCUGCAUGGUGGGGGUUGGAAAGCUCCGGCGGUUGUGGAUGGACUCGCGGCCUAUCAGCUUGUUGGUGGGGUAGUGGCCUACCAAGGCGGCGACGGGUAGCCGGCCUGAGAGGGUGACCGGAGACAUUGGGACUGAGAUGCGGCCCAGACUCCGACGGGAGGCAGAAGGGGGGAAUAUUGCACAAGCGGCGCAGGCCGGAUGCAGCAACGCCGCGGGCGGGAUGACGGCCUUCGGGUUGUAAACCGUUUUCAGCAGGGACGAAGCUUUUUGUGACGGUACCUGCAGAAGAAGCACCGGCUAACUACGUG
rnacentral:rRNA from 1 species